UACGGGGGGGGCAAGCGUUGUUCGGAAUUACUGGGCGUAAAGGGCUCGUAGGCGGCCAACUAAGUCAGACGUGAAAUCCCCUCGGCUUAACCGGGGAACUGCGUCUGAUACUGGAUGGCUUGAGUUUGGGAGAGGGAUGCGGAAUUCCAGGUGUAGCGGUGAAAUGCGUAGAUAUCUGGAGGAAUACCGGUGGCGAAGGCGACAUCCUGGACCGGUAUUGACGCUGAGGCGCGAAAGCCAGGGGAGCAAAGCGGG
rnacentral:rRNA from 1 species